rnacentral:rRNA from 1 species
CCUGGCCGCAGGCCUAACACAUGACAAGUCGAGCGCACCUUUUCGGAGGUGAGCGGCGCACGGGUGAGUAACGCGUGGGAACCUACCCUGGGGUAGGGGAUAACCGCUGGAAACGGCGGCUAAUACCCUAUACGUCCUUCGGGAGAAAGAUUUAUCGCCCUGGGAUGGGCCCGCGUCGGAUUAGCUAGUUGGUGGGGUAAAGGCUCACCAAGGCGACUUAUCCGUAGCUGGUCUGAGAGGAUGAUCAGCCACACUGGGACUGAGACACGGCCCAGACUCCUACGGGAGGCAGCAGUGGGGAAUAUUGGACAAUGGGCGCAAGCCUGAUCCAGCCAUGCCGCGUGAGUGAAGAAGGCCUUAGGGUUGUAAAGCUCUUUCACCCGCGAAGAUGAUGACGGUAGCGGGAGAAGAAGCCCUGGCUAACUCCG